UGCGUUCCAAGAAGUGAGCACCGAACACUAGGCUCAUGUCCACACAAUCACCACUCAAAAACCCAAAAUCCCUUCACUCUUCAUCUCUCUCUCUCUCUCAAGGAAGAUCUCUGUGUUUUCCACACACAUCGAGCCAAUGGAUUUGGUAUUGAGAUCUGAAGCAGUAGAGAAUUCUGGAGGGGAGUUGAUGGCAUGUGAAGGGCUCUCAACUGUAGAACCAGAAGAGGGUAUGGAGUUUGACUCUGAAGAUGCUGCCAAGGUAUUCUACGAUGAAUAUGCUAGGCGGACAGGAUUUGUCAUGCGCGUGAUGUCAUGUCGUCGAUCAGAGGUUGAUGGGAGGAUUCUUUCCCGUCGACUUGGAUGCAAUAAGGAGGGUUAUUGUGUGAGUAUUCGAGGUAAAUUCGGGCCUGUUAGGAAGCCACGACCAAGCACAAGGGAAGGAUGUAAAGCUAUGAUUCUAGUUAAGUCAAACAAAUCCGGAAAAUGGGUCAUCACAAAAUUUGUUAAGGAUCAUAAUCAUCCACUUGUGAUAUCCCCUCGUGAAGUUCGUCACUUUAUGGAUGAGAAGGAUAAGAAAAUUCAGGAGCUAACUGCAGAGCUACGGAACAAAAAACGGUUGUGCGCGGUUUAUCAAGAACAGUUGUCGUCGUUUAUGAAAGAGGUUGAGGAGCACACUAACCAGUUAUCAAAGAAGGUUCAAGUUGUAGUCAACAAUUUAAAGGAAUUUGAUCCUAUAGACAAGGAGCUUUCACAUAGUAGAUAGCCCCAGCAAUAUGGUCUGCCGGAAAGAAAAUGCUAUGGGUAUCGUUGAGCACACGCGCCAAAUCUCAGUCUACCUGUGUGCAAUUUACUCAAACCUCAGGGGAGGUGCAGCAGAAGAAGAAAACAUUGACUGAAAACAGAGAAGGAAUUUUUGUAAAAUGUAUGAAAAAGUGCUAGCUUUGGUAGAGCUCUGUGGUUUAUGCAAAAUCAAAACUCAGAGACCAAUAUUUUCUUGAAUUAAAUUUUCUGGUGGGUGUACAACUAGAGCAGGGUGAUAACUUAGCCUUGUUGGCAUAUUCAAAUUGUGGGUAGAUGAUUUCUUAACUGCAGUAGCUGAUGUAUAAUUUGUUAAUAUGGGCCCUCCAGUAUUAAGUUCUGGGUCAUGUACAUUAUUAAUCAGAAUGUAUAAGCUUCAGUUUAUGGCAA